rnacentral:rRNA from 1 species
GACGAACGCUGGCGGCGUGCCUAAUACAUGCAAGUCGAGCGCAGGAAGCUGACGGAACUCUUCGGAGGGAAGGCAGUGGAAUGAGCGGCGGACGGGUGAGUAACACGUAAGGAACCUGCCUCAAGGAUUGGGAUAACUCCGAGAAAUCGGAGCUAAUACCGGAUAGUUCAACGGACCGCAUGGUCCGCUGAUGAAAGGCGCUCCGGCGUCACCUUGAGAUGGCCUUGCGGUGCAUUAGCUAGUUGGUGGGGUAACGGCCCACCAAGGCGACGAUGCAUAGCCGACCUGAGAGGGUGAUCGGCCACACUGGGACUGAGACACGGCCCAGACCCCUACGGGAGGCAGCAGUAGGGAAUCUUCCACAAUGGACGAAAGUCUGAUGGAGCAACGCCGCGUGAGUGAUGAAGGUUUUCGGAUCGUAAAACUCUGUUGUAAGGGAAGAACACGUACGAGAGGAAAUGCUCGUACCUUGACGGUACCUUACGAGAAAGCCACGGCUAACUACGUGCCAGCAGCCGCGGUAAAAC